CAAGGGUGAAACUGCACGCCCCUCCUCCAGUUUGUUGUUGUUGUUGCUUAAUUAGCUAUUUUUGAGCACUAUGAAAGCUUAACCACAGCUCUUUCUUUGCUUAUCCUGCUGUAAUUGUCAACUUAGGAAGGAAGGAGAGAACUUAGGAAGCAAAACUUAAAGGAUUGCCUUGAACUGUCUCUCCCGAGAGGGAUGUCUUUCUGUCACAGACCAAAGCAGUGGUCAAGUGAAAGGGAAGGGAGCAGUCCUGACCCAGAAGGACCGGCAGUGUGACAGGCCGGGCUAACCAUCAUCAGCAACAGCUGCUGCCUGAGGGGGGUUCCCCAUCUGCAUUCCCAGUCCAGGCCAAUGAUGACGGAACAUCCAUCGGCUGCCCUGUCUUGUGUUCGAGGAAAAGGCCAUGAUGCAGGUUUCUUGUUCCUGAUCCUCCUGCGUCCCAGAGUGCUGUAGUUAAAGAUUUGAUGCCAAAUAUCUGAGGAAGGCCUGAAGGCUAACAGGCCAGCCAGAUAUUGAACUGCUAAAGUAUCUGUUUUGUUGUUUGUUUUUCUAUGAAGUUAUAAGACAUUAUUUCAAAUUGCACAUGGGGGGGAGCCAAGGCUCUCAAGCACAUGGACAUCCGAGCUUGUCUAUGAAUGCUAGCCAAACAAGCCAGAGCAAUACGAGUGGAUGAGAGGACAUCCAGGAUAGCCAAAAUCCUGCGACACUGAACAAGACCAAAGACACUUGGUUUUUAAAUUUUAGGGCUUUCCAUGGUUUCCUUUGGCCAUGACAGACCCUAAAGGACACAAAAGUGGGGUGAGAGUUGAUUUGAUCCACUUUCUCAUAGCAACUAUGUACUAUUUAGUCCUUAAAUCCUGACUGAUGUAGUCAGAAUCAGUCCAGGCAUGUGUUAAAGACUGUGGCUGGUAAGCUCAAGUUUAGUGAACAAAACAAAGUUAAGGACAUGAAUGCUAACCUAAAGAUUUAGGUUGGUUCAAACAAGAGGAGGGAUUGACGUAUAGCUUGAACCACAGUAACGCCAUUUGCUUUUAGGAUCAUGCAUGUAGCUCACAAAGACUUGGGCGAGGCUGUGGAGUAUUAUUUUAUUAGGUGCUGUUAUCUUUCUUUGCUGUAAUGGCCAUGCAAGCAGAGAACAAGCAUAAUAAGGCUUGGGCAUGCACUAAAGAUGGUUAGUGGAGGAGUACGGGCUGUGAAGACGGGGGCUGAGGGGGAUAGGAAAGCUAUUUCUUGUCCUGUUGGAAAGGUGAAACCUAUUUCUUCUAUUUUAUCUACACUGUUGGGAGAAUGAACUCAUCUUUUUGAGAAACGGAACUUAUUUCUUAUCUUUGCUGUAUAAACAUGCUGCCGUAUCACAGAGAAGGGGUGCUAGAGUUUGAGAGCGUCAGCAGACCAGAACCUUUGUUUACCAUGGAGCAGAACCCCUGUGAUAUAUUGGAUUUGUGGACAAUGGGCGAGAAAGCAGUUAUCACCCCUCUGGAAUGGGAUCUGUAUUUUCAUUAACCAAACAUGUUGUUAUUAUUUCAAUCAGAGCAUAAUAAUCAAACUGGAUGAACAAAAACUCAGAGACUUAGCUAGUGAAAUACAUAUGAAACCAGACCCGGAUUGGAACUUGUGGGAUUGGUUAACAGGAUGGUUACCCAGCUUUUCCUGAAUAAAGGGAUUGUUUAUUCUUUUUGUUUUAGGGAUAGGAAUUUGUGUAAUAAUAUGUUGCUGCUUACAAUAUUUUCCUAUCAUAACCACGUGCGCUAUGGAUAUGUGCCACGCUACUAGAGUAAAAAACCCCACAAGCCGAGGCCCAGCUAUACAAGCCCUCAAUAUGCAAACUCUAUAUUAAAGACUUAAUAUGCACAAAGAAAAAGGAGGGAAUUGGUGUAGGCCUGAACCAGACCGAAGCCAUGUUACCUUUGCUAUAUUUUGUCUGUGUAAGGGGGGCCUGGGGGAUUCCUUAUAAGGAGUUGCUUUUCUGUGCUAAGGAGGGCCAGGAGAGACUAGAUAAGAAGGUGAUGAGGUAUUCAUUUUAAAGUAAAUGCGCAGAAGUUAGCUGGAAAAUUACUGAAAGUCCAGACAAAGGAAAGGCGCAGAACCUAUGUAUCAUCUCCUAGUUUAUAAAUAUGCCAUGCUUGUAAAUGAACGGGGUCUUGGACUUGAGCGAGAGCUAUCCAGGACCUUUGCUACUAUAGGGCAAAUAAAGCCUUUAAAUCCUU